rnacentral:rRNA from 1 species
UAGGGAAUCUUCCGCAAUGGGCGAAAGCCUGACGGAGCAACGCCGCGUGAGUGAUGAAGGUCUUCGGAUCGUAAAACUCUGUUAUUAGGGAAGAACAAAUGUGUAAGUAACUAUGCACGUCUUGACGGUACCUAAUCAGAAAGCCACGGCUAACUACGUGCCAGCAGCCGCGGUAAUACGUAGGUGGCAAGCGUUAUCCGGAAUUAUUGGGCGUAAAGCGCGCGUAGGCGGUUUUUUAAGUCUGAUGUGAAAGCCCACGGCUCAACCGUGGAGGGUCAUUGGAAACUGGAAAACUUGAGUGCAGAAGAGGAGAGUGGAAUUCCAUGUGUAGCGGUGAAAUGCGCAGAGAUAUGGAGGAACACCAGUGGCGAAGGCGACUUUCUGGUCUGUAACUGACGCUGAUGUGCGAAAGCGUGGGGGUCAAACAGG